UCUUUACAUUCUGAGUUCAAAUUACGCUGAGGUCAACUUUGCCUUUCAUCCUUUCGGGGUUUAUAAAUUAAGUACCAGUUGUGUACUGGGGUAGAUCUAUUCGACUGGCCCAUUCCCCAAAAAUUUUUGGCCUUGUGUCUAGAGUAGAA